rnacentral:rRNA from 1 species
GUUGGGUAGGGGAGCGUUCUGUAAGCCUGUGAAGGUGGCCUGUGAGGGUUGCUGGAGGUAUCAGAAGUGCGAAUGCUGACAUAAGUAACGAUAAAGCGGGUGAAAAGCCCGCUCGCCGGAAGACCAAGGGUUCCUGUCCAACGUUAAUCGGGGCAGGGUGAGUCGACCCCUAAGGCGAGGCCGAAAGGCGUAGUCGAUGGGAAACGGGUUAAUAUUCCCGUACUUGGUGUUACUGCGAAGGGGGGACGGAGAAGGCUAUGUUGGCCGGGCGACGGUUGUCCCGGUUUAAGCGUGUAGGCUGGUUUUCCAGGCAAAUCCGGAAAAUCAAGGCUGAGGCGUGACGACGAGGCACUACGGUGCUGAAGCAACAAAUGCCCUGCUUCCAGGAAAAGCCUCUAAGCAUCAGGUAACAUCAAAUCGUACCCCAAACCGACACAGGUGGUCAGGUAGAGAAUACCAAGGCGCUUGAGAGAACUCGGGUGAAGGAACUAGGCAAAAUGGUGCCGUAACUUCGGGAGAAGGCACGCUGACACGUAGGUGAAGUGAUUUACUCAUGGAGCUGAAGUCAGUCGAAGAUACCAGCUGGCUGCAACUGUUUAUUAAAAACACAGCACUGUGCAAACACGAAAGUGGACGUAUACGGUGUGACGCCUGCCCGGUGCCGGAAGGUUAAUUGAUGGGGUCAGCGCAAGCGAAGCUCCUGAUCGAAGCCCCGGUAAACGGCGGCCGUAACUAUAACGGUCCUAAGGUAGCGAAAUUCCUUGUCGGGUAAGUUCCGACCUGCACGAAUGGCGUAAUGAUGGCCAGGCUGUCUCCACCCGAGACUCAGUGAAAUUGAACUCGCUGUGAAGAUGCAGUGUACCCGCGGCAAGACGGAAAGACCCCGUGAACCUUUACUAUAGCUUGACACUGAACAUUGAGCCUUGAUGUGUAGGAUAGGUGGGAGGCUUUGAAGUGUGGACGCCAGUCUGCAUGGAGCCGACCUUGAAAUACCACCCUUUAAUGUUUGAUGUUCUAACGUGGACCCGUUACCCGGGUUGCGGACAGUGUCUGGUGGGUAGUUUGACUGGGGCGGUCUCCUCCUAAAGAGUAACGGAGGAGCACGAAGGUUGGCUAAUCCUGGUCGGACAUCAGGAGGUUAGUGCAAUGGCAUAAGCCAGCUUGACUGCGAGCGUGACGGCGCGAGCAGGUGCGAAAGCAGGUCAUAGUGAUCCGGUGGUUCUGAAUGGAAGGGCCAUCGCUCAACGGAUAAAAGGUACUCCGGGGAUAACAGGCUGAUACCGCCCAAGAGUUCAUAUCGACGGCGGUGUUUGGCACCUCGAUGUCGGCUCAUCACAUCCUGGGGCUGAAGUAGGUCCCAAGGGUAUGGCUGUUCGCCAUUUAAAGUGGUACGCGAGCUGGGUUUAGAACGUCGUGAGACAGUUCGGUCCCUAUCUGCCGUGGGCGCUGGAGAACUGAGGGGGGCUGCUCCUAGUACGAGAGGACCGGAGUGGACGCAUCACUGGUGUUCGGGUUGUCAUGCCAAUGGCACUGCCCGGUAGCUAAAUGCGGAAGAGAUAAGUGCUGAAAGCAUCUAAGCACGAAACUUGCCCCGAGAUGAGUUCUCCCUGAGACU